ensembl:snoRNA
AUCCUUUUGUAAUUCAUAAACAUGAUGAUUGCAAACUGUUGUGUGACAUGUGCCUCCCUCAAACCUUGUUAUGACCUUGGCACAUUACCCAUCUGACG